UACAUGCAAUCAUAUGAGCAGAUAAUUAGAUAAAUUAUGAUAGACAAUGUAUUUAUACUUAUAUUGUUGUGAUAAAUUCAAAUUCUAUUACUAAGAAACAUAAUACAAAAAUAUUUAUUAGUAAUCAAAUAGUAAAAUCAAAUAAAAUUAUUAAAUAUUCAAGUCCAAAUUGACUGUAAAUAGUACUAUGCAUGCAUUCAUACAAAAUUAUACUCAUAUCAUAAUUAUUUUUACAUGACAAUAUGGAAAUGCCGACGGCAAAACGCAAAAGCAUACAUAUUUGCAUAUGUACAUUGCGAUUCCCAAGUUAAAAGAAAAAUUGAACCAUGAAAAUAUCACAAUGCUGUUAUUGGGAGUAUCAUAGGAGCAUGCAUACAUAUAUUUAUGUCUCUUCAUAUUCUUGGGUAUGUGAGACAGAGAAUAUAAAAAAAUGUCUGUAUGUUCUCUGUGUGAGAGGUGUAUUUUGUAUACAUUUUUCGCUGUCAAAAAUGAAACAAAAUAUAAACAAGCAAAACGAAAUUCUUCGUUGGGAGUGUAAUCGUAGGCAUGCAAAUUAACUUCCCUUGCGUGGGAAGUAUUAAAAAAAAUGUUUUCGUUCGCUACGUGCAGAAGAAAUCAAACACAACGUGUUGGUUUGAGUGCGGUAGUGCUUGCUCGCUGAUUACACACUAUACUAACACUCAUCUUUAUUCGUAAAAUCACUUACAUAUAUUUAUUACUAGCUGUCAAAUCUAUUGCUAUUGCCAUUGCCAAAUCUGUAUGUGGGCAUUUGUUAUCAUAACAUAAUCAUUUGCGCAAAGGCGUAGGGUAGAUAGCACGGUAGAGGAGGAGUAAGGUCACUAUCAGCUGAUGUUAUGUAAACAAAGGCACAGCUGAGAGGUGCCACUGUAGAAACGUCAAGUGUAGUCCGGGGUUGAGUUUCUAUUGAAAUCCAAUAUGGCCGACUUUUAACCAAGAUGGCUGACUUUUAACCGGAAAAUGGUUGCAUUGCGUUAUUUUCUUAAAAUUUAUGGAAAAGUUGUCCCAAAAAUAUUGGUUAUAUGUAAAUAAAAGUUGAAUAUAUUUUCUAAAGAAAAUUUUUUUAUUUUAAUAUAUAUUCUUAAAGAUGAGAACAAUAUGAGCAAAUACAUGAAAAAUUAAGUUUUUUAUUUAUGCCUCUUUUUAACUUACCACAGUAAUAAAUGUUCACCACAGAAAAAUGUUACGAACAAAUAAGCAACCAUGCCGAAUAGUGGGGUCCAGAUUAUGCUCAUUCACAGCCAUAUUUACAUUUUUUCCAUCGUAACAAAGGUUUUUGCAAGACAAUUUGUUUGAGUUUAUUUCAUGGUUAAAUGCUUUAUGAUGGUUUAUUUAGUUAUUUGAAUCUGGAAGAAGUGUGCAAAUUUCCCUUGAGACGAUAAAUAACAGAUCGGGUUGGGGUUUUAUUCCAAUAAAAGUACGGAAUAACUAAACAUGGCCUCGUUAAUAUUAAUGUAAUGGGUCAGGCGCUGUUCCAAUUUUAUGAUUUAAAAGAUUAAAAAGCGAUACGCGAUGCUGUGAAGUACUCAAAUGUAGUUCUCAAAUUAGUUGGUCGUGAAUUCGAGACAAAAUUUUAAACUCAAUGACGUGCUCGUGGAAGGUGCACGUCGCAUUGCUAGAAUCAGCAAAGGAGCUGGUGUAGAACGCUAGUCCAAAACCAAUGAGCUUUGUGCUUGAGGGUGGAAGCAACUUUUUGAGGAGCAAAUACUACGGUGAGCACAUUCGGAUGUUGCACAAGCUAUUGACAAUUGCGCUAAGGAUCCCGAUACUGCUGGUCAGGUUAUUGAAGCUGUUGGAUCAAAGCGUUACCAGUUGAGCGAAUUAAUUGAAACCAGUCAAUCGUGUUAUGCGCAAAAAUUAAAAAUGCGUUGUAUCCUAGCUUCCUAUUGAAAGCCAAGUCGUUUGGAUGUACAAUUGACCUCCAUGGAAGAGCAAGUACCAUGGAAAUUACGACCUUAUCGUGCUGCGCAAUAUUAUGAUGCCGAAUUGGGAGAGUGGGAGGAACCAGCUCCACCAAAAUCGAUAGAAGAACUACGUAUGUUUGCAUAAAACUACUAUAAUGGCAACAACGCUAACAACAACAACCAACCAAAUAUUAAACAACACUCAUCAAAUGAAAGUUAGUGGCGUUGGUGGCCAAGCAGCGAUUUAAAAAGAAAUAUUUGCAUCUACGAAUUAUUAUAGUAUGUAAUGUCAAACUUUAGUUAUCUCUCAUGGUCCACUCAUUAUAAAAUAUAAUUUCCAAUUUGUCCAUGAAUAUUUUAACUAAAACGCUUAAA